AGCGGAAAAACCUAAGUCCAAUACAUCCCUGAUUCUCGACAACGAAAACCCCCGUUACCUCCACUCUUUUUCUUUUUCUGGAUCUGCAACUUAACCAGAACUUAGUUUUUUUCAUUCAUAACCAGCAACCAAUCAAUUCUCAGACCUGUUUUGCGUAAACCAAUUUGUUUUUUUCUCCAUCGAUCGAAGCCUGCAAUUCCAUCUUUAUCGAAACCCUAAGAAACAAAUUUCGUAAUCAAGGCAAUUUGAACACAAAUGUAGAGAUGGUAAUUUUUGCAGACGGUUUUUCCUUUUGUUUAUGCUUCUUCUUACUUGGAUCUGUGUCAAAGCUUUAUUUGCAAGACCACAUUGUAUUUGGAGGAAAUGUUGUGUACUGCUAUUAGAUAUAACUGAUUAACUAUAUCAGUAAAUUUGACAUGGAUUGAACCAAACUUAUCUUGCUGUUACAUCUUGUCAAAUGUCAUUCAGCAUCACUACUUCGUCACUAUUCUCUCAAAAGUGGUAUGAAAAUUUUAUUCUCUAAGGCUUUGAUAAUGCUACACCAUAAGGUUUUGUCAGAAUUUUUUUAUGUAGUUUUUCAUAUAGAGUUUGCUUUAAAUUACCAUAUAUCAUAGUAUGUGAUAAAAUUUGUACAGGCUCAAGAGAAUGGACGGAACCCACCAACCGAUGGUGAAUAAAGCCAGCAGAAAAUCUUCAUGCCCAAUUUCACAAGGCUACAUAGUUCAAAUGAGGGAACAAUCUGGGCUGGCAAAUGAGAGAAGAAAAUGCAGAAUGGGCGAGACGAACGAAAGCACGUGAUAAGGAGGCUAAGAUAUGUUGAAAACCAAAUGUUGGUGUUUGUCAGAUUGUGCUCCAGGCCAGAGAAAUUUUUAACACCGAGGCAACUCUCAUGACCUUCAGAUUAGUACUUCAUACCUUGGAAGAAACUAUUUUCACCUUGGUAUCAGCCUUACAGACCUUUGGAGCAGCUCAAUUGAUCCAGGCAACAUCCUUACUGAUCCAAGAAGCAACUCUGUAGACCUGGGGAGCGGCCGUAUAGAUCUCAAACUAUAUCAGCAAUGCAGGGCCUAAGAAUGGAAGGCUGGAGGAAUUUAUCAUGGAAUUGAUCUAGGCUGAAGUAUAAAGGUUAUUUACUUUCAAAUGAAGCUAAUAUUGAAGUCUAUUCCUCUUCACGUUUGGGUCAUGCAUUGGAUGAUACAGAGUUACCUAUUUUGCACCACCUCUCGUGGCAGGUUUUUUCUUCUACAUUUUGUUAAAAUUGGAAUUCAUUAUACCCUAUAACAGACUUGGAGUUUUUGGUUUUGAAUCAAAUUCUGUGUUUUGGU